CCCGGCCCCAGCAAAGAAGAAGCCAGCUCUCAAACCUUGAAGCAAGCCCACCACGCCCCGAUUCAGCAUAGAAGAAUAUAUUCACUUCCACUGGCCUGUGGAGAAAGGUUCAACAGCAGCCAGCUAUCCUGCAGCUAACAGGAGAAAGAGAGGCAGUGGCACCUUUUUGCCUUACUAGGAAUAGUUUCAUUUUGUACCACAUGUGUUGGAUACCAUUGCAGCCUCCACCCCCAAUUAAAACUAAAACUAUCUUAUGGACUGCU